CAGUGUUUCCAGCAUGGACCCUGUGACAACAUCACUGAUGACACAUGUGGAUGCAUCAAUGCCAUUCCUCCUGAUGGACAAUACUGCCAGUCUGUUUAUCAGCACAACUUCACAGCUUGUCCUGUUACAACAACCUCUCCACCAACAACUCCUCCAGCUGUUUAUGAAUACAU